rnacentral:rRNA from 1 species
UACAGAGGGUGCAAGCGUUAAUCGGAAUUACUGGGCGUAAAGCGCGCGUAGGCGGCUUGACAAGUCGAGUGUGAAAUCCCCGGGCUUAACCUGGGAGCUGCAUUCGAAACUGUCUUGCUAGAGUAUGGGAGAGGGAGGUGGAAUUUCAGGUGUAGCGGUGAAGUGCGUAGAUAUCAAGUGGAACACCAGUGGCGAAGGCGAGUCUCUGGACAUUUCCUGACGCUGAGGCACGAAAGCCAGGGGAGCAAACGGG